GUGGGGAAUCUUAGACAAUGGGCGCAAGCCUGAUCUAGCCAUGCCGCGUGAGCGAUGAAGGCCUUAGGGUUGUAAAGCUCUUUCGCUGGGGAAGAUAAUGACUGUACCCAGUAAAGAAGCCCCGGCUAACUCCGUGCCAGCAGCCGCGGUAAUACGGAGGGGGCUAGCGUUGUUCGGAAUUACUGGGCGUAAAGCGCAGGUAGGCGGAUCAGAAAGUCAGAGGUGAAAUACAAGGGCUCAACCUUGGAACUGCCUUUUAAACUCCUGGACUUGAGGUCGAGAGAGGUGAGUGGAAUUCCGAUUGUAGAGGUGAAAUUCGUAGAUAUUCGGAGGAACACCAGUGGCGAAGGCGGCUCACUGGCUCGAUACUGACGCUGAGGUGCGAAAGCGUGGGGAGCAAACAGGAUUAGAUACCCCAGUAGUCC
rnacentral:rRNA from 1 species